rnacentral:lncRNA from 1 species
AGGGGGGAGGCGUGGGUAGGGUGGAAAGAAAUCUCAAUAUUGUUUAAAAAGGCUAGAGUUUGUCUUUUAAAGUUUUGAGAGAAAUCAAAUUUGGGUUUUAUCCAAAAUCCUCCAACCUACUGACAGGUGUCAAGUCUGUACAAUAAUAAAUGCCUACUCAAACAAAAUAUGAUUUCUGUAGAUAGUGAUAAGCAGGGUCAUAUCCACAGGGAAUGGGGAUAUUUGUCUCUUUGAAGUUUCAAUUGACAAUGAGGGGUUUUAUCGGAAUAAAGCUAAAAACAAUUAAGCAAUUCAACAAAAAACAAACAAUUAACUAGUAUGAAUGUAGACAGGAAUUAAAUCAAUAAUAGACAAAUUCUAGCCAAGGAUACAACUUCUCAGACGCAGUCCAUUCAUCCGAUCAUUGAUGCAAGGGAGGUUCACUUAAUUUAUUAAUAGGUUAGUUAUAAUCGUCAACAAGCUCCGACGACCAUGUUUUCCUUAGUUUAUUGAUAACCAAGGUACGAUCAUUAAUUACCCAUAACCAGAAAACACUCCUAGGUACAACCGUAAGAGUUAACCCCCUAGUUGCAUUAAGAA